rnacentral:lncRNA from 10 species
GGAGCUUUUUAUAUUCUAGGGAGAGAUGCAUUCUCUCUCACAAUGAAUCAGGGACACGAUCUGACUCCUAUAAGGGCCAUAUUCAAAAAGUGGUGAUUGCAUCCUUUGAAAGCCUGUUUGCAUAGCAGACAAUGAAGCUGAGCAGAGAAAAACAAGAUGAGAGACAGAUGGAGUAGGAGACCUGAGAAGAUGGCUUGAGUCCAUGAAUUCUGGUGUUCCCUAGGCCACAUUUGCCCCCAUCCUUCCCAGAUUUUACUUUCUACUCUUGUCAGUCAUAUCUGCAAGGCUGACAGUUACCAGGGGCUGUGGCCAGGCAUGAGGGAGAAUGUGUCAUUGCUGGCUGCGUUGGUCAUAGCAACGUGUCUGCCUCAGAACAGAUCCAGCAUGGAUGAGCAAACAGAAAAAUGUGUAAGAAGGCUUGUGACUGAAACAGACCAAGGGUUAGACUUCUCCUAUGGAGAAUGCAGCAAGAAAAUACCAUCUUGAAGCAGAGAGCAGCGCUCAUCAGGCAUCAGUCCUUCUGGAGCCUUGAUCUUGGACCUCCCAGCUCCAAAAUAAUAAGUAAUAAAUUGUUAUUGCUUAUAAAUU